AUGUUGAUCACUUUCAUGAAAAAGCUUACCUAUCCAGAGAGUGUUCCUUUCAGCCAAUAGCUCUUUUUCCUCUCACACACACAUACACACACGAACACAAAAAGUGUCAGGAUAAAGUAGAGAGGUUGCACAUAAAGGAUGCCUGUGGGACUUGCCCAAGAACAGCGAUGGAACAGUGCAUUUCAGGUCUCCUCAAGUGUCGAGUCUCAGCGGCCCAAAUUCUGGUCUCCCAGCUAGUGUAGAUCAGCUAGCAGACCAAUCUGGCAGAUACACCCUUAUGUCCUGACCCCUGGCAAUAAGUUAGCAGGCUGUCAGUGUGCAUCCCUCUCCCCUUCUCUCAUUCCCCCUUUCUGGCCCUAGGGUGCAGGCAAGCCUAAUGUCGAGGUGAUAAGAGAAUUAGCAUUACUAGGACCCAACUGCUGGGUCGCCCUGAAGGUGCGAGGAGCCCCCGCUGACGUGGUGGCUGGGCUCCUCACCAUUGUGAUCAAUGCACAGGUGCUGGGCUGCCAGAAGAUGGCGAUACCCGCCCUAGAAAGGGAAAUCUGACAGCGCAAGGAGUGCUGCCUAUAAAAGCGCUACUUAGACAAGAACCGCUGCUGACAGCAAAACCUGUGAUCCUUCGCGACCAGAGAUGCCUCCACCGCUUUCUUCUUCCUCCAAAGCAUUUAACACAUCUUCCACAUCUGCUUAGAAUGAAACAACAGAAAGGCUGUAAAGCUUAUCUCUGCCAGUAAUCCAACUGCAUGCACAGAAGCAGAAAAGCAUUUCUCUGCACAGGAAGAGUAAGGGGGGUUGAGAGGAAACAUCAGAUACUUAACUAGGCAAGUAUUUACAGCAGGUUACCAAGAAAGGGCUAAAAAUCAAAUUUAGUCUAUCUGCUGAGAGUGAUUUGAAACCAUGCAAAUACAUUGGUUUGGAUGAAAUGCUGUUGCUGUUGUGUUGGGUUUUUUGUUUGUUUGUUUGUUUUGUUUUCUUUUUUCCAAAAGCAGCGCAGAAACUAAGAUUUUGGCAGCUUUUCCAAUCCAAAGAAAAAAGUGGUUGUUCUGUGCCAGGGUUCUGACACAAGUAGACUUAGAAGAAAAGUCAGUCUGAAGGCAAGUUUAGUACUCCUUUGAUCGGAAGUAGAAACUGAGAAACCUUAGUAAAAAAAGGGGGGGAAGGGGGAGAGAGUGGAAACCUUCUUCUCAUCAUUUGCAUUUUUUAUUCUAGAUUGUUUUGUUUUUAAUAACUGUUUAUGGAGUAAUACAAGAAAUAACUAACUUUCUUUCUGGUUCAUUGCACAGAGCAAUUUUAAAGGAAAAAAAUUAACCAAGUGCAUACAGCAGAGAACAUUCCCUCAAAAUCCUAUUUUCUUUGAUUGGCUCUAGCUUUAAUAUUCUUGAGAAACUGGAG
rnacentral:lncRNA from 1 species